AGCGUCGAAGCAGUAUCGUGAGGUAUUGUGGAGCGUACGGAAAAGCAAAUGUAGGCAUAAGUAACGAUAAUGCGGGUGAGAACCCCGCACGCCGUAAGGUCAAGGAUUCCCCGGCAAUGUCAAUCAUCCGGGGGUAAGUCGGGUCCUAAGUCGUAGCCGACAGGUAUAGACGAUGGCCAACAGGUUAAUAUUCCUGUACUCAUUUAUACUGCGAUGCAGAGACGUAGCGAUGACACUGCUGCCUCCUGACGGAAUAGGAGGUUGAAGCCCGUACCCAUAGAUGCCUGUAGUCAAGUACGCAGGCAGAGGUGAAAGGCGAUAGUACCGCAAUACUUCGGUAGCGCGGAUAAUGCAGGUAAUUUAACUACCAAGAAAAUCUGCUAAGCUUCAGGUAUAAAUGACCCGUACUGUAAACGGACACACGUGACCGGGUAGAGAAUACUCAGGCGCUCGAGAUAUUCAUGGCUAAGGAACUAGGCAAAAUAGUCCUGUAACUUCGGGAUAAAGGACGCUGGUAGUGAUACCAGCCGCAGAUAAAUGGCCCAGGCGACUGUUUACCAAAAACACAUGGCUAUGCUAAAUCGUAAGAUGAUGUAUAUGGCCUGACACCUGCCCGGUGCUGGAAGGUUAAGAGGAGAGCUCAGGAGCAAUCCGAAGGUUUGAAUUGAAGCCCCAGUAAACGGCGGCCGUAACUAUAACGGUCCUAAGGUAGCGAAAUUCCUUGUCGGGUAAGUUCCGACCUGCACGAAUGGUGUAACGAUCUGGGUACUGUCUCAGCCAUGAUCUCGGUGAAAUUGUAGUUCCGGUGAAGAUGCCGGAUACCCGCAACGGGACGGAAAGACCCCGUGAACCUUUACUGCAGCUUUGCAUUGAUUUUGGGUAAGUGAUGUGUAGGAUAGGUCGGAGGCUAUGAGACGGGCUCGUCAGGGUUCGUGGAGCCGCCGUUGAAAUACGACCCUUUGCUUAUCUGAGGUCUAAUCCCUUUAUAGGGAGACAUUGCAUGGUGGGUAGUUUGACUGGGGUGGUCGCCUCCAAAAGCGUAACGGAGGCUUCUCAAGGUACCCUCAUGGCGAUUGGUAACCGCCAGUAGAGUGCAAUGGCAUAAGGGUGCUUGACUGUGAGACCCACAAGUCGAUCAGGUUGGAAACAAGAGCAUAGUGAUCCGGUGGUUCCGCAUGGAAGGGCCAUCGCUCAAAGGAUAAAAGGUACUCCGGGGAUAACAGGCUGAUC
rnacentral:rRNA from 1 species